UUAUUAAUCUUAAGAAAAAGAAGUUAAAUAAAGCUAAAUGGCAAAAUUUAAAUUUUAAAAAUAAAUAAAUGUGAGAAGAUAACAAUGAAUGCAAAGAAAACAACUAUUCAGAUUUGUCCCAUUCCAUUUGCACACUACAUAAGAUAACAAAACCUUUCUUUUUCAAAAAUUAACUCUCUUUUCCUUUCUUCUACUUCUGCCUCUUCUUCUUGUCUUUACUUCACUUGAUUGGGGGUCUUGCCUAUGGUCAUUGUAUUUAAUUAGGGUGUUGGUUUUAUUUCUUUUGCUUCUAAAUGUGUAGUGCAGAAGCAUGAUAAUGAUAUAUACUUUCUGAUCAUAUAAUCAAGAACAAUGGGACACAUUCUAUAAUUCCAGCUGAAACGGAGACAAAGAAGGGGUACCAUGGAAGUCACCUUACUCCACCACCAGUCCAU
rnacentral:lncRNA from 1 species